UACGUAGGGGGCAAGCGUUGUCCGGAUGUACUGGGCGUAAAGCGUGCGCAGGCGGUUUUGCAAGCCGGAUGUGAAAUCCCCGGGCUCAACCUGGGAAUGGCAUUCGGGACUGCAAGGCUGGAGUGCGGCAGAGGAGACUGGAAUUCCUGGUGUAGCAGUGAAAUGCGUAGAUAUCAGGAGGAAUACCGAUGGCGAAGGCAGGUCCCUGGGCUGACACUGACGCUCAUGCACGAAAGCGUGGGGAGCAAACAGG
rnacentral:rRNA from 1 species